UACGUAGGUGGCAAGCGUUGUCCGGAUUUACUGGGCGUAAAGAGCGCGCAGGCGGUCGAUCAAGUCGCGUGUGAAAGCCCCCGGCUCAACUGGGGAGGGUCACGCGAUACUGAUCGACUCGAAGGCAGGAGAGGGUAGUGGAAUUCCCGGUGUAGUGGUGGAAUGCGUAGAGAUCCGGAGGAACACCAGCGGCGAAGGCGGCAUCCUGGACUGGUCCUGACACUCAGGAGCGAAAGCGUGGGGAGCGAUCCGG
rnacentral:rRNA from 1 species